GCUCUAUCUCCCCUUCGUCCACUGUUUCUGCCGCCGCCUUUUCUGUGCCGCCGCCGGUGUGGCUUCCUCCGUCCCCAACUGCUUCUCUUCCCUUAGUCGACUUCUUCUCCGUCCGUACGAAUGGCCAAAGCCACGACUCGAUCUCCACCUCUCGGCCUCUUGCUCGGAACAGGGCGGCCGAGGCUGUCCCCAUCGUCGCGUGUUUCUUCUCCGGCCCACGGCCGUCGUCUCCCUCUUCCUUGAGUUCUGACAAAGCAGCUGCCGAUCUCACCAAAUUCCUCCAUCACCAUCUUCGUUCUUCUUCUUCGCUCGAUUCCGGCGAACGCGCCCUCGCGCCGCUUGACCUCCCUCGGCCCUUGUCCUCUCAGAUCUGGGCAGACGGCACCGCCACCGCUCUGCCUCACCUCCAAAUACCCACACUCGGUCAGAAAACUCACGGACGCCAGGUCCGCCGCCUCUCCUUCCCCAACGAUGAACCGUUCUCGCUGGGAUUUGGAGAAAGGCUGGCUGGAAUUGGGGGUAAGGUAGCAAAGGCGGC
rnacentral:lncRNA from 1 species